rnacentral:rRNA from 1 species
GAUGAACGCUGGCGGCGUGCCUAAUACAUGCAAGUCGAGCGAACAGACGAGGAGCUUGCUCCUCUGACGUUAGCGGCGGACGGGUGAGUAACACGUGGAUAACCUACCUAUAAGACUGGGAUAACUUCGGGAAACCGGAGCUAAUACCGGAUAAUAUAUUGAACCGCAUGGUUCAAUAGUGAAAGACGGUUUUGCUGUCACUUAUAGAUGGAUCCGCGCCGCAUUAGCUAGUUGGUAAGGUAACGGCUUACCAAGGCAACGAUGCGUAGCCGGCCUGAGAGUGUGAUCGGCCACACUGGAACUGAGACACGGUCCAGACUCCUACGGGAGGCAGCAGUAGGGAAUCUUCCGCAAUGGGCGAAAGCCUGACGGAGCAACGCCGCGUGAGUGAUGAAGGUCUUCGGAUCGUAAAACUCUGUUAUUAGGGAAGAACAAAUGUGUAAGUAACUAUGCACGUCUUGACGGUACCUAAUCAGAAAGCCACGGCUAACUACGUG